GGUUUUGUAGUGUAGUGGUUAUCACUCCAGAUUUUGAUUCUGGUAACCCCAGUUCGAAUCUGGGCAAGACCU
rnacentral:tRNA from 1 species